rnacentral:tRNA from 2 species
GGAAGAUAGCCUAAUGUUGGUUUGUAGGGGUUGUCUGCUAAACAACUUAACCUGAAUAGGGGUUACGAAGGUUCGAUUCCUUUGUCUUCCG